UACGGAGGGUGCAAGCGUUAUCCGGAUUCACUGGGUUUAAAGGGUGCGUAGGUGGGUUGGUAAGUCAGUGGUGAAAUCUCCGAGCUUAACUUGGAAACUGCCAUUGAUACUAUCAGUCUUGAAUACCGUGGAGGUCAGCGGAAUAUGUCAUGUAGCGGUGAAAUGCUUAGAUAUGACAUAGAACACCAAUUGCGAAGGCAGCUGGCUACUCGGAUAUUGACACUGAGGCACGAAAGCGUGGGGAUCAAACAGG
rnacentral:rRNA from 1 species